UGCAUAUCAAAAAGCGGAGGAAAAGAAACCAACUGGGAUUGCCUUAGUAACGGCGAGUGAAGCGGCAAAAGCUCAAAUUUGAAAUCUGGUACCUUUGGUGCCCGAGUUGUAAUUUGUAGAGUACCACUUUGGGACUAUACUUUGCCUAUGUUCCUUGGAACAGGACGUCAUGGAGGGUGAGAAUCCCGUGUGGCGAGGGUGUUAGUUCUUUGUAAAGGGUGCUCGAAGAGUCGAGUUGUUUGGGAAUGCAGCUCUAAGUGGGUGGUAAAUUCCAUCUAAAGCUAAAUACAGGCGAGAGACCGAUAGCGAACAAGUACAGUGAUGGAAAGAUGAAAAGAACUUUGAAAAGAGAGUGAAAAAGUACGUGAAAUUGUUGAAAGGGAAGGGCAUUUGAUCAGACAUGGUGUUUUGCGCCCCUCGCUCCUUGUGGGUGGGGGACUCUCGCAGCUCACUGGGCCAGCAUCAGUUUUUGCGGCAGGACAAAACCUUGGGAAUGUAGCUGUGCGCCUCGGUGUACAGUGUUAUAGCUCUUGGGAAUACUGCCAGCGGGGACUGAGGACUGCGAUACUUGUUAUCUAGGAUGCUGGCAUAAUGGUUAUAUGCCGCCCGUCUUGAACAACGGGACC
rnacentral:rRNA from 1 species